rnacentral:rRNA from 1 species
UGAGGAUGAGCAGCCACACUGGGACUGAGACACGGCCCAGACUCCUACGGGAGGCAGCAGUGGGGAAUUUUCCGCAAUGGGCGAAAGCCUGACGGAGCAAUACCGCGUGUGGGAGGAAGGCUCUUGGGUUGUAAACCACUUUUCUCAGGGAAGAAUAGAUGACGGUACCUGAGGAAUAAGCAUCGGCUAACUCCGUGCCAGCAGCCGCGGUAAUACGGAGGAUGCAAGCGUUAUCCGGAAUCAUUGGGCGUAAAGCGUCCGCAGGUGGCCUAUCAAGUCUGCUGUCAAAGCGCAGAGCUCAACUCUGUAAAGGCAGUGGAAACUGGUAAGCUAGAGUACGGUAGGGGUAGCGGGAAUUCCCAGUGUAGCGGUGAAAUGCGUAGAUAUUGGGAAGAACAUCGGUGGCGAAGGCGCGCUACUGGGCCGAAACUGACACUGAGGGACGAAAGCUAGGGGAGCGAAGGGGAUUAGAUACCCCUGUAGUCCUAGCCGUAAACGAUGGAAACUAGGCGUGGCUUGUAUCGGCCGUGCCGAAGCUAACGCGUUAAGUUUCCCGCCUGGGGAGUACGCACGCAAGUGUGAAACUCAAAGGAAUUGACGGGGGCCCGCACAAGCGGUGGAGUAUGUGGUUUAAUUCGAUGCAACGCGAAGAACCUUACCAAGGCUUGACAUGUCGCGAAUCCUGCUGAAAGGUGGGAGUGCCUUAGGGAGCGCGAACACAGGUGGUGCAUGGCUGUCGUCAGCUCGUGUCGUGAGAUGUUGGGUUAAGUCCCGCAACGAGCGCAACCCUCGUUUUUAGUUGCCAGCAUUAAGUUGGGCACUCUAGAGAGACUGCCGGUGACAAACCGGAGGAAGGUGGGGAUGACGUCAAGUCAGCAUGCCCCUUACGUCUUGGGCAACACACGUACUACAAUGGUCGGGACAAAGAGCAGCGACCUCGCGAGAGUAAGCGAAUCUCAUCAAACCCGGCCUCAGUUCAGAUUGCAGGCUGCAACUCGCCUGCAUGAAGGAGGAAUCGCUAGUAAUCGCAGGUCAGCAUACUGCGGUGAAUUCGUUCCCGGGCCUUGUACACACCGCCCGUCACAUCAUGGAAGCUGGCCACACCCGAAGUCGUUACCCUAACCUUUCGAGGAGGGGGACGCCGAAGGUAGGGCUAGUGACUGGGGUGAAGUCGUAACAAGGUAGCCGUACCGGAAGGUGUGGCUG